rnacentral:rRNA from 1 species
AGUGAACGCUGGCGGUAGGCCUAACACAUGCAAGUCGAACGGCAGCACAGUAAGAGCUUGCUCUUACGGGUGGCGAGUGGCGGACGGGUGAGGAAUACAUCGGAAUCUACUUUUUCGUGGGGGAUAACGUAGGGAAACUUACGCUAAUACCGCAUACGACCUACGGGUGAAAGCAGGGGAUCUUCGGACCUUGCGCGAUUGAAUGAGCCGAUGUCGGAUUAGCUAGUUGGCGGGGUAAAGGCCCACCAAGGCGACGAUCCGUAGCUGGUCUGAGAGGAUGAUCGGCCACACUGGAACUGAGACACGGUCCAGACUCCUACGGGAGGCAGCAGUGGGGAAUAUUGGACAAUGGGCGCAAGCCUGAUCCAGCCAUACCGCGUGGGUGAAGAAGGCCUUCGGGUUGUAAAGCCCUUUUGUUGGGAAAGAAAAGCAGCAGGUUAAUACCCCGCUGUCCUGACGGUACCCAAAGAAUAAGCACCGGCUAACUUCGUG